rnacentral:lncRNA from 1 species
AAAGCGACUACCAGAGAGCUGGGCCAGUUGUUGUUUUCAAAUGUUUAGCUAAGCCUAGCCCACAAGAAUUCCUGGCGUGGACUCCAUCAGGACCUAGGAAGGGUCACAGAGUGCUCUGAUGUAUGCUGCCUGCAGUAUGAGCCGAGGAGCUUUUUGAAAGUCUGGGAGAAUUUGACCAGAGACACCUUUAACAGUACCAUCUCCAAAACCUCUCAUGCACAAGUGCAGCGAGACUUCCAGCAAAUCAGCUGAGGAUUUACAAGGAGAAUUAGGCUAACAGAAAAAGAAGAAACAUCUCAUAUUGGAGUUAACAGGCAAGUAGUGUG